rnacentral:rRNA from 1 species
ACUCCUACGGGAGGCAGCAGUGGGGAAUUUUGGACAAUGGGCGAAAGCCUGAUCCAGCCAUGCCGCGUGCAGGAUGAAGGCCUUCGGGUUGUAAACUGCUUUUGUACGGAACGAAACGGCCUUUUCUAAUAAAGAGGGCUAAUGACGGUACCGUAAGAAUAAGCACCGGCUAACUACGUGCCAGCAGCCGCGGUAAUACGUAGGGUGCAAGCGUUAAUCGGAAUUACUGGGCGUAAAGCGUGCGCAGGCGGUUAUGUAAGACAGUUGUGAAAUCCCCGGGCUCAACCUGGGAACUGCAUCUGUGACUGCAUAGCUAGAGUACGGUAGAGGGGGAUGGAAUUCCGCGUGUAGCAGUGAAAUGCGUAGAUAUGCGGAGGAACACCGAUGGCGAAGGCAAUCCCCUGGACCUGUACUGACGCUCAUGCACGAAAGCGUGGGGAGCAAACAGGAUUAGAUACCCGGGUAGUCCCA